UGCGCAGGCGGCUUAUUAAGUCAGUGGUGAAAUCUCUCGGCUCAACCAAGAAACUGCCAUUGAAACUGAUAAGCUUGAGUGUAGUUGUAGUAGGCGGAAUAUAGCAUGUAGCGGUGAAAUGCUUAGAUAUGCUAUAGAACACCGAUCGCGAAGGCAGCUUACUAAACUAUCACUGACGCUCAUGCACGAAAGCGUGGGGAGCAAACAGGAUUAGAUACCCUGGUAGUCC
rnacentral:rRNA from 1 species